rnacentral:rRNA from 1 species
CCUACGGGCGGCAGCAGUGAGGAAUAUUGGUCAAUGGGCGCGAGCCUGAACCAGCCAAGUCGCGUGAGGGAUGACGGUCCUACGGGUUGUAAACUUCUUUUAUAAGGGAGUAAAAUGCGGCACGUGUGCCUUUCUGUAUGUACUUUAUGAAUAAGGAUCGGCUAACUCCGUGCCAGCAGCCGCGGUAAUACGGAGGCUCCGAGCGUUAUCCGGAUUUAUUGGGGUUAAAGGGGGCGGAGAUGGGUUGUUAAGUCAGUGGUGAAAGUUUGCGGCUCAAACGUAAGAUUGCAGUUGAAACUGGUAGUCUUGAGUGCAGUUGAGGUAGGCGGAAUUCGUGGUGUAGCGGUGAAAUGCUUAGAUAUCACGAAGAACUCCGAUUGCGAAGGCAGCUUACUAAACUGCAACUGACAUUGAUGCUCGAAAGUGUGGGUAUCAAACAGGAUUAGAUACCCUAGUAGUC